rnacentral:rRNA from 1 species
AACGCUGGCGGCGCGCCUAAUACAUGCAAGUCGAACGGAAACCUUCGGGUUUUAGUGGCGAACGGGUGAGUAACACGUAAGCAACCUGCCUUUAAGACGUGGAUAACAAUUGGAAACAGUUGCUAAGACAGGAUAGGAAAUUAAGAGGCAUCUUUUAAUUUUUAAAAGACCUUUUUCGAAAGGUAUACUUAAAGAGGGGCUUGCGCCACAUUAGUUAGUUGGUAAGGUAAAGGCUUACCAAGACGAUGAUGUGUAGCUGGACUGAGAGGUCGAACAGCCACAUUGGGACUGAGACACGGCCCAAACUCCUACGGGAGGCAGCAGUAAGGAAUUUUUGGCAAUGGAGGAAACUCUGACCGAGCGACGUCGCGUGAACAAUGAAGUACUUCGGUAUGUAAAGUUCUUUUAUUGAAAAAGAAAAAAUAGUGGAAAAACUAUCUUGACAUUAUUCAAUGAAUAAGCCCCGGCUAAUUAUGUGCCAGCAGCCGCGGUAAUACAUAAGGGGCGAGCGUUAUCCGGAAUUAUUGGGCGUAAAGGGUGCGUAGGCGGUUUGAUAAGUCUAUAGUUUAAAUGCAGUGCUUAACGCUGUAGCGCUAUAGAAACUGUCUGACUAGAGUUAGAUAGAGGCAAGCGGAAUUCCAUGUGUAGCGGUAAAAUGCGUAAAUAUAUGGAGGAACACCAGAGGCGUAGGCGGCUUGCUGGGUCUUAACUGACGCUGAGGCACGAAAGCGUGGGGAGCAAACAGGAUUAGAUACCCUGGUAGUCCACGCCGUAAACGAUGAGUACUAAGUGUCGGGUUUCGGCUCGGUACUGAAGUUAACACAUUAAGUACUCCGCCUGAGUAGUACGUACGCAAGUAUGAAACUUAAAGGAAUUGACGGGACCCCGCACAAGCGGUGGAUCAUGUUGUUUAAUUCGAAGAUACACGAAAAACCUUACCAGGUCUUGACAUAAUUUUGCGACAUUAUAGAAAUAUAAUGAAGGUUAUCAGAAUUACAGGUGGUGCAUGGUUGUCGUCAGCUCGUGUCGUGAGAUGUUAGGUUAAGUCCUAAAACGAGCGCAACCCUUGUCGUUAGUUGCGACCACGUAAUGGUGAGCACUUUAGCGAGACUGCCAAUGAAAAAUUGGAGGAAGGUGAGGAUUACGUCAAAUCAUCAUGCCCCUUAUGAUCUGGGCUACAAACGUGAUACAAUGGCUGUUACAAAGAGUAGCUACAACGUGAGUUUUUAGCCAAUCUCAAAAAAACAGUCUCAGUUCGGAUUGAAGUCUGCAACUCGACUUCAUGAAGUUGGAAUCGCUAGUAAUCGCGAAUCAGCAUGUCGCGGUGAAUACGUUCUCGGGGUUUGUACACACCGCCCGUCAAACCACGAAAGUUGAUAAUACCCGAAAGCGGUCGCCUAACUUCGUCAGAAGAGGGAGCCGUCUAAGGUAGGAUCGAUGAUUGGGGUUAAGUCGUAACAAGGUAUCCCUACCGGAAGGUGGGGAUGGAUCACCUCCUUUCUAAGGAAACAUAGAAUCAUCAUCUUCAGUUUUGAAAGACUUAGUUAGGUUUUUCUAAUUUGAAAAACUUAGUUAAGUUUUUCUCAUUUCUUUUAUUUUUUGGUAUCCUGGGCCUAUAGCUCAGUUGGUUAGAGCACACGCCUGAUAAGCGUGAGGUCGGUGGUUCAAGUCCAUUUAGGCCCACCAAACGUUUUGCUAAAAAAAACGUGUUAUCAAAAAAAAGUUCUUUGAAAAGUAGAUAAACAAGAAAACAAUAGCCAUUUUUAAAGGAAGUAAGGGCGUACAGUGGAUGCCUUGGCACU